AAUGAACGCUGGCGGCGUGCCUAACACAUGCAAGUCGAGCGAACGGACGAUAAGCGUUCUUCUCUGCUGUUAGCGGCGGACGGGUGAGUAACACGUGGAUAACCUACCUAUAUGACUGGGAUCAUGUCGGGAGACCGAAUCUAAUAACGGAUCAUAUUUCGAACCGCAUGGAUCAACAGUGCUAGACAGUCUUGCUGACACCUAUAGAUGGAGCCGCGCUGCCUUAGCUAGUUGGUAAGGUAACGGCUAACCAAGGCGACGAUGCAUAGCCGACCUGAGAGGAUGAUCAGCCACACUGGAACUGAGACACGGUCCAGACUCCUACGGGAGGCAGCAGUAGGGAAUAUUCCGCAAUGGGCGAAAGCCUGAUGCAGCCAUGCCGCGUGAGUGAAGAAGGUCUUCGGAUCGUAAAACUCUGUUAUUAGGGAAGAAAAUAAGUAUAAGAAAAUCUUGAUAUCUUGACGGUACCUAAACAGAAAGCACCGGCUAACUACGUG
rnacentral:rRNA from 1 species